UACGGAGGGUGCGAGCGUUGUCCGGAUUUAUUGGGCGUAAAGAGCGUGUAGGCGGUUAGAUAGGUCUGCUGUGAAAACUCCAGGCUCAACCUGGAGACGUCGGUGGAAACCAUCUAACUAGAGUCCGGAAGAGGAGAGUGGAAUUCCUGGUGUAGCGGUGAAAUGCGCAGAUAUCAGGAAGAACACCCGUUGCGAAGGCGGCUCUCUGGGACGGUACUGACGCUGAGACGCGAAAGCGUGGGGAGCGAACAGG
rnacentral:rRNA from 1 species